GCAAAGCAUUCUUAAAUAAAACAUCAUAAGCAACAAAAGAAAAACAAUAGAUAAAUUAGACUUUAUCAAAAUUUAAAAAUUGUAUGCUUUAGAGCAGUGGUCCCCAACCCCUGGGCCACAGACUGGUGGGAACCCACCAGGCCAUACAGCAGGAAGUGAGUAGCAGGUGAGUGAGCAAAGCUUCAUCUGUAUUUACAGCCGCUCCCUAUCGCUCACAUUACUGCCUCAGCUCUGCCUCCUGUUAGAUCAGAAGGAGCAUUAGAUUCUUAUUGGAAUGGGAACGCUGUUGUGAAGUGUGCAUGCAAGGGAUGGAUGGAGAAAAAAAGUAGAUUACUGGUUGCCAAGGAAUUGGAGGGAGCCCGGGAGGGUAGGGGGUGACAGCUAGAGGCUACAGGGUUAUUUUUUUUUUUUAGCAGAUAUAUGUUCCAGAAUUGACUAUAGUGAUGGUUGUACAUAUCUGUGACUAUACCAAAACAAACUAAAUUGUAUACUCUAAAUAGGCAAAUUGUAUGAUGUGUGAAUUAUAUCUCAAUGAAGCUGUUGAAAACAUUUAUUGAGCUCCAGGCACAGUUCUUAAGCAUUUUACAUGUAUUAACUCAUUUGCGGUCACCCAAUGAGGUAGGCCCUGUUAUAUAAAUGUCACCAUUUUGCAGCUGAGGAAACUGAGGCAGAGUUGCCCAGGGCACUAUUAAUAUCUCCUUCUAGUGCAUAAGGAAAAUGAGGCACAGAGUUUAGAGUUUGUGUUCUGUCUGUGGUCGCACAGCUGGUACAGCGGAGGCAGAAUCACAGUGUGAUCCCAGACCCCACUCUUGGCCACUUGCCAUGCUAUACUACAGGCAAAGCAGAGAGUUCCUGCCCAUGGGGAGCUGUAAUCUACUUGAGUGUAGGCACGUAAAUGGGAAAGAGGUUGAGAAACUGUCAGGAUGACCACCUACUAAUUCGCUCUGAGACUUCAGUUAAGGCACAGAAUUCCUGGGCCUCAGUUUCUUCCUCUUUUAAACCAAGUCUUAGGCUGGAUAAAAGAGGGCCCCAUCCUGGGGUUCAUGAAAGUAGUAAUGCUGGUCUAUGGAUAACACUUAGCAUAAAAAAAAAACCAAACAUUAUAUUUGCAUUCAGGCCUGGAGACCAUAGAGCAUCUUUGCUCUUGGCUGAAAUUACGUCCCACCAGGGUAAUAACCCUGGUUACCUCCAGCUGAUGAGAAGCUUCGAUUAGCAGUCACGUAUCUGACUCUGCUUGACAAGAAUAAGAAACUGGAUCCCUCAUUGCUUGUUCUGGGACCACUUGCUGGGGAAGGCCACCCUCAGGUCUAGGGGCUUCCGCUGCGAUUCUCUAAGGUCAUUUGACCCCCUGGGACUUGCCCUCCCUUGGACUCCCUGGCUUUCCUGUAGUCUCUAGGGUCUCAGCUGUUUUUUCCACCACACCCAGGGUUCCCUGUGGCAGGCCCAAGCUGAGGUGGAUGUGCGGAGUGUGGGCUGGCCAGUACAGCCAAGGUGGGCAAACGCGCGUGCUGUCAGGAGCAUGGACAGGGCUCCUGGUGCUCAGAGUCCACCACCACUUCUGCUCUUCCUACAGGCAGAAGGCAAAGGCCUGUUUCCCACUGAAUAGCACCUUCUCCAGUCAUGCCUGGGGAGCUCUGAAAAUAAACCAGAUUGGGAAUAGUCAGGGUGUGGGCUACUGAUGGCCCCUCGGGUCUAUCCAGUGCAUUUUCUC
rnacentral:lncRNA from 1 species